UACGGGAGGCAGCAGUGGGGAAUAUUGCACAAUGGGCGCAAGCCUGAUGCAGCCAUGCCGCGUGUAUGAAGAAGGCCUUCGGGUUGUAAAGUACUUUCAGUCGUGAGGAAGGUGUUAAGGUUAAUAACCUUAGCAAUUGACGUUAGCGACAGAAGAAGCACCGGCUAACUCCGUGCCAGCAGCCGCGGUAAUACGGAGGGUGCGAGCGUUAAUCGGAAUUACUGGGCGUAAAGGGCACGCAGGCGGUUAAUUAAGUUGGGGAUGUGAAAUCCCCGGGCUUAACCUGGGAAUGGCAUUCAAGACUGGUUAGCUAGAGUCUUGUAGAGGGGGUAGAAUUCCAUGUGUAGCGGUGAAAUGCGUAGAGAUGUGGAGGAAUACCGGUGGCGAAGGCGGCCCCUGGACAAAGACUGACGCUCAUGUGCGAAAGCGUGGGGAGCAAACAGGGAUUAGAUACC
rnacentral:rRNA from 1 species